CAUCCCAGUUGUAUACAGCAUCUGUGUAGUUUAAAGCUCCAACAAAUGCUGUAGUUCAAGGGGAGGGGGGGUGGGGGGUCUUCAUUAUAAAGUCCUCUCUGUUCUGAGAAGAGCUGGUGGCUGGAUUUUGACAUUGUUUAGGAAUUCCCAGAGAGAUAGGGCUCCUACCAGCAGGUCACUGACUCCUCCAGCUUCUGCUUAUCGGAGCAGCUAAAUAACUCUGUCAGGAGAUUGAUAUACGCUUAUACACAUAGGUUCAAGUCUAACCCAGCACUCCUGCUAUAAAGACACACUUUGCAUUGAUGUACCUGGAGUCUUUGUGACAGGGAAACUAAUGAAUGGAUGAUCUGUAGUAGAGUUGGCGGUGGUGGUGGGGAGGGAAACAACAGCUUGUUCCUGCUGUGGUGGAAGAGCACUUUGGUCCCUUUGAACAUCAUUGGCCGCUUCCCUGGCGUCGGAGCUGUAGUUAGGAUGCACAUUAGACUGGCUUUUUGGUGGUUCAGUCGUCACCUGUCCAGACUAACACAAAAACAACACACCGCUCUCAGUUCCCGUGUUAAACCCGUCUAUAUAUACAUGUGCAACAUGCGGACCACAGUUGGUUCCCUACCAGAGAGGCCUGUGUGGAGUCCCUGCACAGGCACCGCUUCUCCAGACGAGCUAUAAACUGGUUCUGGGAGCUGAUCAUCGAGGGCUCUGACCUCCAUGACAAGGGACCCGUCCUGCUCCAGAUGGCCGUGGAGCUUCUCCAGCUGCUCCUGCUGCCGCCUGAGCUCCGCUCGCAGCGCUGCCACCUCCGACUGGUUGGCAGAAGCCGACUGCGUGUUCAAACACAGCGCGCCUGUCAGUUUUUGUUGCGGGACGAUGAAAGUGUAGGAGCAACGGCCUCCUUUGGUAUCGGAAGAUCGCGAUGGACGUUUCUGCGCGUCGUCGCCAUGGGCCCCGUCGCUCCGUCCUCCAGCUCCUGGAAACAGUGGGUUGUGGGUCUCGACUGUGCACCAGAUGUUUCCUCGGAUACACACAUUUCCCCCUUUGCUGGAAUUUAUUAGCAGGUCAACACGAGAAGGACAACAGUCAACAUGGACCAGCUGGAGUCAACACACUUCCAUCUCACGGUCAACAGAGGAGCUCGCUCCACAUCCAGGCACAACAACCACGGUCAACACCAUAAACACAUGAAUCACAAUAGGUCGAUAUCGGCAGCUGACACAAUAAUCUCCUCUCGAACUUCCUCACCGAUCCCACAUUUUGUACAACCAUUUCUGGAUUAUAUCAUUAUUUAAUAAGCUAAUACGUGCAACUUUACAUGCCAUAACUAGUAGAUGUAGGUCUCCAUUGAAGUGGACUAUACAUUGACUUACCGCAGCAGCUGAGAAGUGUUCAGUGUGUAGAUGCAGCUCACAGGUUGCACAGAUGUCAAAUAAAGGCUAUAUCUUCUUCUUUUUUUUUUUUUUAAAUCACAUGUUCAAGGAUCAGGAAGGCUUCUUCCAAGUGAAAAGGUCGUCAGUGGUCCUCCGUGAAUGUUGAUGUUGAAUCCACGUUUCGUAAGCAUGCUAAGCUGCCACUACUUCUCCGGAGGUUCUGUGUCAGGAUCUGUGAAGAGGGAGACAACUAAUUACAAAGCAUCCGAAUGACGCCGCCUCCCAGUACCUGCUGUUUAGCUGGAUGUCUCCUCCCUAUGCCGUCAACCUACUGUAGCCACAGACUCUAUCCCAGGAGGAGCUGAACCGGUGUGCUAUUCAAAUGCAACUUGUGGUUCUGGUCAUUGAUGGUUUUUGCGUCCUCGCCUUGUUUUGUCCGACCAACAGUCCAAAACCCAUCAAACAGGAGAAAGAAAAGCAUCAUACUCUCAUAUUUGAAAAGCUAGAAACUGUAUUAUUUUUGUUCGUGAACAAUGACGCAAUGAUGUUGUUGAACUAAUCAAUUAAUCGACUCGUCGUUUCAGCUAUAGUACAGUAUAUACGUUCACCUCAUCACUGAAAUAUCUUUGGUUGGAUUCAUAGAAUAGUCAUAGGCUCUUCUGACAUCCCUAAGUACGGGUUUGAUCUAAGCUGUGACGGACAAUCUUCUUACUUAAUUUGACUAAACCUUUUAAAACAGACAGCUGGGUUGGCUGAGAAAUAGACACAUAGCAAACAAUAGUACAUCAGCUACAGAUUAAUAGGAACUAAUAUUCUGCUGUGUCCCCUUGCCAACACAUAAAACUCCUGCAUUGAAGUUUAGUUCAGUAAAAAUACAGCAAAAAAGUGCUUUAAGUAUUUAUUUGGACUCCUUUGAGUGUUUUGUAUUAGAAAGGAUGUCAUAAUAUUAUUGCUGAUACAAACGCAGCAUUUUAAAGUCACAGCUGAUUGAGGGGGUUUUAGUACUUUAAUCCAUUAUUACAUAUAUUAUGAUCAUAUGUAUGUAUCAUAUCAUAUGUAAUUGUGCUUAUAGGUAGGUCAAAUUCUAAUGUAUUCAUCAAACUGCAGCAGCGUCAGCUUGAUCUUUAAUGGAGACUCAGACAAGUUGGCACAAGCUCGCAAUUUCUGUUUCAACUUUCAUUUAUUGGAGUAAUACAAGUAAGAUAUACAGAAAGGCAUGCAACGUUUAACCCACAGAGACUGUAGACUAGUUGAUGCAUUACAUGUUGUGUGUUUGGACUGACGGCCACACCCAAUCUGUAAUAUAAGAAGAAUCAUCAGGUUUUUGGGUGGGGACAGAUUUUUGACCUUUAAAAACCUUUAAAAAGCUCUCACAACUGUUUGGUAUUUGCAUGUGAAGCCGUGGUUACACCAUUCUCUGUGGCCAGCAGUGCUGACAGUAAACACGUUGAAAUAAUAUCUUUGAUAUUGCAGCAGUUGUCCUCCUGUAAUAUCUGCUACUGACACAACUGCAGACCUGUCACAGAGCCUUCAAUGAUGGGGUGGAAGUGUGACACCUUGAAAUUAUAUUCUUCUUUGUGGUUUCACAGCAGCUGCUGGUGUUGCUUGCCGCCAGCUCAGUUAAUUGCACCUUGCAUUUUAAACUGCUCCUGUUCUAUGAAAUAAUACAAAUGUUUUAGUUUUGUGUUACAGUUGUCUUUCGGCUCUCUGUUGCCAUCUUUAUCAUCUUUAUUCAAGAAUGAAGAAACAGACUUUUCCCUCUUAAUUAACGGGACAACAACAACAAUUCAAACUGCCACACUUUAUUAGAGGUUAAUGUUUAUCUUGUAGAAUAAUGUUUUUGUGUUGUCAUAUUGCAGCAAUUUAUAAUAUAAUUAUGAUAUUGGUCCUGAUUUAUUAGUUAUAUAUGUCCAAAAACUAUAGUCCUACAUAUAUAAAUAUAGCCUCCUCAGUAUUAGCCUUUUGUGUAUUAUUGUUUU